rnacentral:rRNA from 1 species
GACGGAGGGUGCAAGUGUUAUCCGGAAUCACUGGGCGUAAAGCGUCUGUAGGUGGUUCGAAAAGUCCACUGUUAAAAAUUGAGGCUUAACUUCAAAGAUGCCGUGGAAACUUUCAAACUAGAGUAUGGUAGGGGUAGAGGGAAUUUCCAGUGGAGCGGUGAAAUGCGUAGAUAUUGGAAAGACCACCGAUGGCGAAGGCGCUCUACUGGGCCAUUACUGACACUGAGAGACGAAAGCGAGGGGAGCAAAUGGG